GUAUCGGUCUGUCAUGGUGAAGAAAGAGCUGAGCCGCAAGGCGAAGCUCUCGAUUUACCGGUCAAUCUACGUUCCUACUCUCACCUAUGGUAAUGAGCUUUGGGUCAUGACCGAAAGGACAAGACCCCGGAUACAGGCGGCCGAAAUUAGCUUUCUCCGCAGGGUGGCUGGGCGAUCCCUUAGAGAUAUGGUGAGAAACUCGGUCACCCGGGAAGAGCUCAGAGUAGAGCCGCUGCUACUCCACAUCGAGAGGGGUCAGCUGAGGUGGCUUGGGCUUCUUUUUCGGAUGCCUCCGGAACGCCUUCCUGGGAAGGUGUUCCGGUCCCGUCCCACCGGGAGGAGACCCCGGGGAAGACCUAGGACACUCUGGAAGGACUAUGUCUCCCGGCUGGCCUGGGAACGCUUCGGUGUCCCCCGGAAGAGCUGGAGGAAGUGUCUGGGGAGAGGGAAGUCUGGGCAUCUCUGCUUAGACUGCUGCCCCCGCGACCCGGCCCUGGAUGAAGCGGAAGAAGAUGUAUGUGUGCUUUCGGCAGUGGACAGGGGUCAGCAUGGGCGUCCUGACUGGUCUGCGGCUACGCAGCCUCAUACGCAACAAACUGCGAUGCAAUAUGUGUUCUGACAUCUUUAUCAGUACCAGCAUAAACCUUUUCAGCAAUUUGAGGUACAGUAGCUCAUCUGUUGGAUCGGACCACAUGGCCCAGCCUUCGCACCGCACGUGCGUCAUUUAGCCUUGCCCACCCAUGACCCAGCCGCAGGUUCACCGCUUUACACUUCCUUGGACCACAUUUGACAGGUACUGACCACUGCAGACCAGGAACACCCCACAAGGGCUGCAGUUUUGGAGAUGCUCUGACCCCGUCGUCUGUUCAUCACAAUUUGCCCUUGUCCAUUUUUCCUGCUUUUAACAUAUCAACUUUGAGGACUGAAUGUUCACAUAAUGUUACGGCUGAUUGGUGUAUGUAUGUCACCCUAAGAAGAGUUCCAAAUGAUCCAUAACUGUCAUGGCCGUCAAAGGUCUGUUCUCAGAGUAAUGACUUUAUGUGUGUUUAUAUUUGGUCCUAAGAAAGCGGAACUGAAUUAUUCUGUCCACUGUUUGUUCUCUGGCUAAGUUCAUGUUUUAUGGUUUGUGGUGUGUGUGACUGGAAAUGGAGGUAUUUUAUAAGAGGGCUGAGACACCCACGUUUUAUGGUGUCCUACAUGACAACUGGUCGUGAAUCAUUUACAGUAUUUGCCGACAAAACGAUUUAUUUGAGGCAGACAGACGAGAAAACAUAAAACCUUUAUACAUGAAUGGAAUCCAACUCACAUUGAAUGGUUGCAUCACAUACCAGAAAAAUGGGAAUUGUUUACAAUGCAAAGAAUCAAAUGAGCUAGUUACCUGUACCAAAAGUUAAAUAAUUGAAUGCCAUUUCAGAUGCAUUUGUGGUAUUCUGUGUGGUUGUAAUGUGUUUGGAUAAGUAUUUCUAUUCAAAGGCACUGACUAUUUUAGCUGAGUAGGCAACAGAACAGUAGCACAACAUGAAUGAACACAACCCAACGUGUACAGGUAUGCAAAGUAGGCUUCUAAGCAGUUACAUUUGCUUGUGAAGUCAGUCUUAAGACAUGUUCCUAAACUCUAAAGACCAUUUACGAAGUAGGUUCAGCGUUAAAAGUAGACUAAAUGAAAUGGGAUGUAUAAUUCUGUCCUUCUGAACAUAAAAAAAUAUAGUUCACUGUGACCUGCUAGUGCUGGCUAUCAAGUAAUAAAGCAGUCAGGCGACUGUUGAGUUGUUGUUGGGGGCAGCAGGAUAAACAGAUUCUGUGUGUUUUGUCGCCCUUUACAUAGUUCAAAUUACAUAGUGAGGCAAUUUCAACAGAGAGCAUUGAAACAUGACGCUCCCAACUCUUUAAGGCCCUUGGUUAGCUACCUAGCUGUAAAAACGCAAAGCGAAUUUGUGCACAUGCACAGGCACUGUAUCUGACAGUAUGCCAUCAAAGUGUAGCAUAAUCUUUCUCAACCAGAAGUCUCUUACAGCCAGCAGAGUCUUGCUUAACCAGAUCUCUGUGUUACGGCUAAUGGCAACAUCUUUUUGCAGAAUCUAACUUUUCCUUUUUUUUUUGUACAACAAACAAGAUCAAACAUCAGUGUGUCAACAAGAAAAGCAGGUUUCACAGUGAAAUACAUUAUGUUCAUACAAAGUUCAACAAAUCUUUUUGAUAGGAUUUUUUAAUGUGAAAACUGUGAAAAAAAACUGUAACAGAUUACCUUUAGAACUUCAAAGACUCAUUUCGAUAAUUGUCUCACAUUAUUUAUUCUUGGACUAAUUUAUUGUUACAAUGACUAAACUGAGAGAGUUGCAUUGUUAUGUUUUUAUGACAUUAUAAUUCAUCAAAAACCUAGUGCUUGAAUCAAUGAUCUCAUGGUGAAGAUGUUUACAAACAAAUAGCAAGCAAAUUCAGUAUGGUUUAGAAUGCAAGAUUAAAUUUGGACUUGAAAAUAGUACAAAAGCAAAUAAAACAAACCUUAAUAAGGGCAGAAUUAUUAAAAACAUUUAGCUGAGUCUACCUUUAAUGAAUUAUCUACAUUAGAAUUAUUUAAUUUAGUAAAGAAUGUUGUCUUCCCUUCCCUAACUGUAUUGAAGUUUACUGUGCAUACAGCUAGACCUUGGGUUGUGUUAAUUUUUGUUGGACUACUGUACUGUUGCCCUUUCAGCUAUAAGAGUCAGUGCCCUUGAAUAGAAAUACAUAUCCUAAAUCAUUGUAGAAUGCAAUGUGAAUAGCAAUACAUAUCCUAAAUCAUUGUGGAAUGCAAUGUGAAUAGCAAUACAUAUCCUGAAUCAUUGUGGAAUGCAAUGUGAAUAGCAAUACGUAUCCUGAAUCAUUGUGGAAUGCAAUGUGAAUAGCAAUACAUAUCCUGAAUCAAUGUGGAAUGACAACCACACAGAAUAUCACAGAUGCAUUCCAAAUGGCUAUCAAAGGAUAACAGGUGACACCUCAGGGGCUCUCACUUCUCAGGCUACCACUCUUCCUCUUAAAUUGUCAGGGGUCAGUGUCAGAUGCUGAGCUGCAGCUCUUUGUUUUUGCCACUUCUGGUCUUUUGGCCACACCACCGCUAUGGGAGGACACCUUCCGAUCAGCCUGGUCAGUUUUUCUCUGCCCUGGCACCCCAAUGGUGGAACCAGCUUCUCCUUGAAGAUCAUAUAAUGGAGUGCUUCCUUUCCUUCUGAUAAUGAAUUUGCU
ensembl:lncRNA